rnacentral:ncRNA from 1 species
UAACUUCCACCCCGCACAGGUAUCCAUCGCUUCAUCCCAAUGAAGCGAUGGAUUUAAUCGGGAAUCCGGUGAAGGCUGGCCUGCCAGCCCAUUCCGGAGCUGCCCCGCAGCGGUGAAUGGAAACGACCCCCGCCAUAUGCACUGGGCUUUCGCGCCUGGGAAGCGGCGGGCAUUAGGCCCCCAUGCCGAACGGCAUGGCCCGUCCAUCAGCCCGAAUACCGGCCUGCGCCGGCGGCCGCGU